rnacentral:rRNA from 1 species
UAAUACGGAGGGUCCGAGCGUUAAUCGGAAUUACUGGGCGUAAAGCGCGCGUAGGUGGUUCAGUCAGUCAGAUGUGAAAGCCCCGGGCUCAACCUGGGAACUGCACCUGAUACUGCUGAGCUAGAGUACGGUAGAGGGUAGUGGAAUUUCCGGUGUAGCGGUGAAAUGCGUAGAGAUCGGAAGGAACACCAGUGGCGAAGGCGACUACCUGGACCGAUACUGACACUGAGGUGCGAAAGCGUGGGUAGCAAACAGGAUUAGAUACCCUGGUAGUCCACGCCGUAAACGAUGUCAACUAGCCGUUGGGGGACUUGAUCCUUUAGUGGCGAAGCUAACGCGAUAAGUUGACCGCCUGGGGAGUACGGCCGCAAGGUUA